rnacentral:rRNA from 1 species
AUUGAACGCUGGCGGCAGGCCUAACACAUGCAAGUCGAACGGUAACAGGAAGAAGCUUGCUUCUUUGCUGACGAGUGGCGGACGGGUGAGUAAUGUCUGGGAAACUGCCUGAUGGAGGGGGAUAACUACUGGAAACGGUAGCUAAUACCGCAUAACGUCGCAAGACCAAAGAGGGGGACCUUCGGGCCUCUUGCCAUCGGAGGUGCCCAGAUGGGAUUAGCUAGUAGGUGGGGUAACGGCUCACCUAGGCGACGAUCCCUAGCUGGUCUGAGAGGAUGACCAGCCACACUGGAACUGAGACACGGUCCAGACUCCUACGGGAGGCAGCAGUGGGGAAUAUUGCACAAUGGGCGCAAGCCUGAUGCAGCCAUGCCGCGUGUAUGAAGAAGGCCUUCGGGUUGUAAAGUACUUUCAGCGGGGAGGAAGGGAGUAAAGUUAAUACCUUUACUCAUUGACGUUACCCGCAGAAGAAGCACCGGCUAACUCCGUG